GAAAGACGCGCAAAUUUGUUAUCAUCCCUAAUUCUCUAAGAUAUUUUUUUGGCCACCAAAUAAGUGGCCAUUUU
rnacentral:sRNA from 1 species